CACGGGGGAGCAAGCGUUGUUCGGAUUCAUUGGGCGUAAAGGGCUCGUAGGUGGCUUUGUAAGUCGGAGGUGAAAUCCCACGGCUCAACCGUGGACACGCCUUCGAAACUGUGAAGCUUGAGGCUGGGAGAGGAAAUCGGAAUUCCUGGUGUAGCGGUGAAAUGGCGUAGAUAUCAGGAGGAACACCGGUGGCGAAGGCGGAUUCUGGACCAGUUCUGACACUGAUGAGCGAAAGC
rnacentral:rRNA from 1 species